rnacentral:rRNA from 1 species
AGUGAACGCUGGCGGUAGGCCUAACACAUGCAAGUCGAACGGCAGCACAGUAAGAGCUUGCUCUUACGGGUGGCGAGUGGCGGACGGGUGAGGAAUACAUCGGAAUCUACUUUUUCGUGGGGGAUAACGUAGGGAAACUUACGCUAAUACCGCAUACGACCUACGGGUGAAAGCAGGGGAUCUUCGGACCUUGCGCGAUUGAAUGAGCCGAUGUCGGAUUAGCUAGUUGGCGGGGUAAAGGCCCACCAAGGCGACGAUCCGUAGCUGGUCUGAGAGGAUGAUAAGCCACACUGGAACUGAGACACGGUCCAGACUCCUACGGGAGGCAGCAGUGGGGAAUAUUGGACAAUGGGCGCAAGCCUGAUCCAGCCAUACCGCGUGGGUGAAGAAGGCCUUCGGGUUGUAAAGCCCUUUUGUUGGGAAAGAAAAGCAGCAGGUUAAUACCCCGAUGUUCUGACGGUACCCAAAGAAUAAGCACCGGCUAACUUCGUG